GUGUGAGUGUGUGUGUGUGUGUAUUUAAAGGAGUGUGUCUGAAACAGUAAGAGAGUUUUUGAGAUGAGGAAAGAGUCUGGCAAACAGAUUUACUGGAAUAUUCAACCCCCCUCCACUCUCUCCCUCUCUGAGCAUGCAAGGCGGGGAGUGUGAGAUACAAACAGCAACGAACCGGAGGAGUUCAGAGGUCUUCAAGUAUUUGCUUCUUCAGUCAUCAGGGGUUCUUUUUCCUACAUCUUUUGGUGUGACGUCUCCGGACCUCAGCUGUAUGUCACCGCCAAGCAAUGUCUGUAGGGAGAUUCAGGUAGUUCCACACACAUUGCCUUUUAGUUCAUAGGUUUUGAUAUUGCUACUGGUCAAAUGUUAAUUUUAGUCUAUGCUGUGGUCUGCUAAGAAAAUGGAUGAUCAUACUUUGGACACCCUUUAUUUAAAUCAUGCAAAGUUUUUUGACUCAGCCGCCUAAAAGAAUCGGAAUCAAGAAUCGUGUGGAACUGGAAUCGAAAUGAGGAACCGGAAUCGGGACUGGACUCGGGACCGGAAUCGCUCAAAUUCAAAUGAUGCCCAACCCUAAUUGUCAAGCAUUUACAGAGCAGCAGUAUGCCCCCCCCCCCACCCCCCAACUAAAGACUUUUUGAAUGCAAAUAAUAUUCUUAAAGGCGGCACGGUGGAGAAAACCGGAGAAAACCCACGCAGGCUUGGGGACAACAUGCAAACUCCACACAGGCAAGGCCGGGAUUUUAACAUCGGUCCUCAGAACUGUGAGGCAGAUGUGCUAACCACUCCGUCCACCGUGCCGCCACGUCACUUGUAAUGUACAUGUGAAAAGUUGGAUAUAGGGAUUAAACUAGAAUUGCACCCUUGACCUGGAGUGUAAAUCCAGCCUGACUGCAACAUGAACCAAAAACAAGUACCUUCUGAAUGUGACUGUGUACUGUACCACUAAUGUGCACUCUAGUGACUAACAAGAAUCUUCAUAACAAUCCUUGUUAUCUAUCACCAUCUAUCCACAUUUUACUAAAUCACAGCAAUUCACCUUCUCUCAAACAUUUGUCCUACCGCUUGUGUCAUUGUAGUGCAGUUUUAGUUCGACUUAACACUCCUUGUGAGUGAGGCUAUGUCACAAUUGAGUCAUGUAGCAUGUAGACCUAAACAACAAUGAUGUGAAACUGCGGGUUUGGUUGCAUGCACCAAAACGCCCCCACAGUGACCUAAUGUAAAUUGCAAAGUAUGUGACAUUAAAUUCAGCGUAUCUUUAUAAGAAACUACUUAUACAUCUACUAAUUUAAAAACGUGUUUCAUUAAAUACAAUAUGUACAGUAAGAGUUUUUGUUUCAAAUGCAUGAAAGUCAUGCAAAGAUGACCUGAUACUCUUAAAGCACACUUCUGUGACUCAUGCUGAGACUCCAUUAUGACUCACUGAGCUAUCAAAAUGAGUUUGAGUUUAUUUGUAAAAUGAAACUACACCUAUCCCUUGAGGCGUUUAGAUGAGGACUACUGAGGGCCCACUCUGAGAAGCCCUUCUUUCCAGUAACAGCGAGUCAGCAGGUACUAUGAACGACCUGCAUGAAUCAGCAUGGGAUGAAAACAAAUCCCAGGCUGUCAUCCCAAAAAUGUCUCUUGCUGUCCAGUUAGAAUUGUUGAGUGUUUUGAUAGAGCCUGAAUAUGAUUUACUUGUCUUACAAAAACUCACUUUAUGUUUUUUUCCAACAGAAUUACUGUAACUACAAAGAGAAGAGGUUAACUUUUAGUUCUCAUUAAAUUUUCAACCUCUAAAGGUGUGUGCUGACAAUGCAGAAAAUAACCUUGGCCUCUAUUUUCGUGACUCGUGCAAGUCCACCACUUGCGCUUGGCGUAACUCUCCGAGGAGGCGGAUUAGACCAGGUGUUUGUGAUUGAGGAAUGCUCAAAAAACAGUUAGGAACAUCUUACAGGUUAACUGGAAACAGGUGAGUGUCAUGAUUGGGUAUAAAAGCAGCAUCCCCCGAAAGGCUGAAUUGUUAACAAGCACUGAUGGGACGAGGUUCACCAUUUUGUGAACAACUGCAUAAGCAAAUAGUCCAACAGUUUAAGAACAACAGGUUCUUAGCGUACAAUUGCAAGGAGUUGAGGGAUUUCAUCAUCUACAGUCCAUAAUACCAUCAAAAGAUUCUGAAAAUCCGGAGAAAUCUCUGCAUAUAAGCGGCCAGACCAAAACCCAACAUUGAAUGCCCGUGACCUUCGAUGCCUCAAGCGGCACUGCAUUAAAAACCGGUAUCAUUGUGUAAAGAAAUGCCACGUUGGUUCAGGAACACUUCAGAAAACCAUUGUCAGGUGACACAGUUUGUUACUAUAUCUACAGAUGUGUUUACGUUUUUACACUAUGUCCCAGCUUCUUUGGAAUUGGAGUUUGUCUGUUUGUAUGUUGUAUGACUGAGUGAAUCUCCUGUAUCUGACUUGCAUUGCAUUCAUGGAGAGGAUUAAAACACAUAUCAGCUGCUGCUGUUUCCAAAAGGAAAACUACAGAAUUCUUUUACCACACAUGACAUCGCCAACCCAUUUAACAGAUGUGCUGACAAUGUCAUGGAUUGGAACAACCAGUCUUAUUUAGGAUUUAAUGUUUGCAUUAUGCACUGUUUACGUUGUUCGGUAGGAGUUAGCUGACAUUUUUCUAGACUUUACAUGAUGAGGAUUUUUGGGGCUGAGUUUAAAAAAACAAAACGUUAACCGAUCACCGAUCCGAUCACAAGAUGGAGCAAUGUGUCUAUUUAAAUGACUUGUUCAUUUACUGUAUAUACUUGGGUACUGUAUACUGCGUAUCUUCAAAAAUAUCUUGUCAGCUCACGUAUUCUAAUCAGUCAGGUCAAACCAACAGUACAACAGUACAAUAAUGAGUGUUAACUUACUGGAAUUAAAUUACUUUAUUGUAAUGAAAUGACUUCACACACACCGAAAUUUUAAAGCAUGAUUUCGACAGAAUGCCGGUACAGCCGUUAGUGCUAGUAUUAGCUUGCUAGGCUACAUUACGUUUGUUGCCUGCUUGCGAGCCGUAUCGUAUUAAAAGUAUGUGAACAUACCUCAAGUAAUCCUUGAAUGAAAGUCCUCUCCCGAGCACCGGUGACCACCAGCACACUUUUUCCCCCCAUUUUGUUCUUAUAAUUCACAUGACAGUGAGUAUUGUACUCCACCACCAUGGCCUGUAUGCACGAUCACCACGCAAGACCCCAUUGCUGGAAAAAAAAAAGUUUAAGCUUGUUUAAAGUUUGCUGCGCAACAUUUGGACAAGCCAGUUAAAUACUGGGAGAAUAUAGUCUGGACGGAUGAGAGCUAAAUUUAACUGUUUGCAUGCCAUAAUACACACCACGUUUGGAGGAAAAAUGGCACUUCACAUCACCCUAAAAACACCAUACCAACAGUGAAGUUCGGAGGUGGGAACAUGAUAGUGUUGGGGCUGCUUUUCAUCAAAUGGUACUGGUAAACUUCACAUUACUGAAGGAAGGAUGAAUGGGCAAAUGUACCGAGACAUUCUUGACAAAGAUCUGCUGCCAUCUACGAGGAUGAUGAAAAUGAAACGAUGGACUUUUCGUCAGGAUAAUAAUCCAAAACAUACUGCCAAGCAAACUCCCAAUUGUUUUCAAAGAAAAAAAAGUCACGCUGCUAGAAUGGCCCAGCCAAUCACCACCUGACCCAAUCAAAAAUCUAUGGCAAGAACUGAAACUCAAGGUCAAUAAAAGAAGCUCAUGCAACCUUGAAGAUUUGAAGACUGUUUGUGUGGAAGAAUG